UUCAAUAGAAAGCCGGGAAGAGGAAGAAGGGGCGUGGCCACGCGCUUCACCGGCCGCUACGGCCCAGAGGGGCUGGGCUGCUGGGGCCGUCCCGCCGCCCCAUUGGCGGAGGGAGGAGCCGCUCACGCGAGAGGCCGCUGAUUGGCAGGGGCUGACGUCCAUCAGGGGGGCGCGAGGCUGGAGCCGCGCGGCGCUUGGCAUGCGCUCUAACGGCGAACGGGGAGGGGGGCAGAAAAUGGCGGGGGGGCGGUGCGCGCGCGCUGCAGGGCGCCCUGAGGGGACGCCCUGCUGUGGGGCUGGGCAGGGCCCUCGUCGGGAGAGGGGAUGAACGGAAAACGCACAGGAAAAGAGAAAACGGUGAGGGAUGCAUUGCUCGGCGACAAGCGGAACUUCCUGAAAAGUAACAAGUAAAACCUCCUUCCUUGCAGCUUUGUCAAUCAGUAUCACAGGGAAACAGCAGAUGGAUUCAGCGUAUGAUCUGUGGUUUGAAAGAAUGUGGAAUGUAUUGUUGGACUGAAGUAAAUAUGAAUAGGAAAUUUUGAAGCAUGUGAACAGUCACAGCAUGUACAUGUAUAUGUUUCAACUGUGUGGACCCGUGGGCUGUUGGCUUAAACCCCGCCUUUGGAAUUCCCCAUUCACCACCAUCAACCAGGAAAUUGGGUCCUGAUUCGGACCUGGAAAGGAUCAACUCCAGCCUGAAUGGGAAGGACACAAACCACUACUAACCAAGUACUACUAACCACUGAAACAGCCAUAGGAACUGAGGAAAAAGGUUGGACUCACUAUACUCGAGUGAAGACAUCCGUUGACCCUAGUACCUGGGAAACUGUUCCUACAGAAGACUCGUUGGAAGUUGAAAUCGAAGAGUAAAAUCUCAUUGUGGACUCUGAGCGGGAUAAAAGCUUACAAUUGUAAACUAACCUUUUAUUUUCACAACUAAUGAGUGUGACUUGUGAUUGAGAGAAAGGACAGACCUAUAACAAAUUGAAGUGCUCCCAAGGGGGGGUUGUUACAGUAGUAGUUUACAUCUUAUUCUUUGUAUUGAUGAUUAUUUGGAAACAAAAGGUUUAAAAAUAAUGAUAGGGAAAAAUCAAUUUUAUUUUUUCAGUGAUUGUAGGCCUCAGAAGGCCUUAGUCAAUUGGCAGCUUGGAAAAGACAUGACCAGAUGAUAGUAAGACAGGAUACCCUGUAAAAAUAUGGGUGGAUGUGACAGAGGGUUAUGUACUACAAUCUGUCAUAUUUGAUGCUUGUGAGGUGUUAGCUUGUGGAGAUUUAAUUGUCCAACGACAAUUGAGUAGAGAGAACAAAUAACUGGGAGAGACCCAACAGACAGAUUGAGAAUGGCUGUAUGGAAACGGUCCUCUAUUGCCAUCAGAGAAAGGGAGAAACUCAAGGAGAAAACGAGAGAAAACAGGAGGCCCUCUUUGAAAUGCAGCAGUUCAAACAUUUGAGAUUGAAACAGGGUAUGGGGAUGUGAAUGCCUGGAUAGAAUAGGUCAAAUAUACCGUCCAGAGUCUCAGCCAUGGCAAUUGCUAUGCUUGUGCCUUGGGAUGACCAAUUGCCUUGAUAGUGCCCUUCCCAUUGGGGUGGACCAAGGAUUCCCAGGAGAUGCGGUGUAUGAUUGCAUUGUACCAAGAGAAGACUGCCUGGGGAAAUGAGGCCUGUAAGUCUCUCUCUUUGCUGUUCCCUUCCUUGCAUGAUAGCAAUAUCAGGGUUCCCCCUUCAUUCUCUACAGCUAUAGGUAACCAUACAGUGUGCCUCUCAAGGCAGGGUGUGAGUGGUACCCGGCAUCUGGGAGAAUUUGCCUUGUGCACGAGGACCUUGAACGCUACUAAGGACUUGAUGGGAAACUGCUCAAGACUUGAGGCCCCCAGGGCAGAUCUCUGGUGGUACUGUGGAGGGAAGAUCUUACGGUCCACCCUACCAUCUAAUUGGGGAGGUACUUGUGCACUUGUUCAAUUAGCUAUACCCUUCACCCUGGCAUUUGAAAGAGAAGCAUCACAAAUACCCAGAAGAAGUAAAAGAAGCUUAGGUGUAUCAUUUGAUGGUAAGAGUAUACAUAGAUUCUAUUGGGGUGCCUAGAGGAGUUCCCGAUGAACAGAAAGCCAGGAAUCAAACUGCUGUAGGGUUCCAGUCACUGUUCUGGUGGGUAACAAUCAAUGAGAAUGUGGAUUGGAUUAAUUAUAUUUAUUAUAAUCAGCAGAGAUUCAUAAAUUAUACAGUGGAUGUGAUAAGAGGAAUUGCUAAACAACUGGAUGCCACCAGCAAAAUGGCUUGGGAAAACAGAAUAGCAUUAGAUAUGAUGCUUGCAGGGAAAGGAGGUGUGUGUGUGUGAUACUGAGCAACCACUGUUGCAGUUUUAUACCCAACAAUACUGCCCUGGAUGGCACAGUAACUAGAGCAUUGCAAGGGCUUACCACCCUUGCCAGUGAAUUGGCAGGAAAAUAAGGAACAGGCACUUCUAUCACUGGAUGGUUGGAAUCUUGGUUUGAUGAAUGGAAAGGGAUGGUAGUGUCCAUCCUUCAUCAUAGUAGCAGGAGUUUUGACAGCUGUUGGUUGUUGCGUUAUCCCCUGUGUAAAAGGACUAGUACAGUGGUUAAUUGAAAGUGCACUAUUGAAACAAGUGACCAUGGAGCCACCACCUCACUCAGAUAAGAUGGUGAUAUCAGAGGAGAUGGAAAGCAAAGAAAGUGAAGAGGAAUAUAUCUACCAAAUUACACCUUAGAGAAAAGUUUUGCGAAAAUCAACAAUUUAAAAAGAAAAGAAGGGAGGAAUUGUGGGAAUAAACAUGUUGCUUUUGCAGAGUUACAUUGUUUAAAGGUAAGUAAUGUGGUACUGAGAUAUGCUUGCAGUGAUAAGAAAACUUAGCAGGAGACCUUGUAAAAUGCAGACAACCACACUCCUUAGAACAAUUAGGUGAAGGUCAUGGUGUCAAGUCAGAUAAGUGAAGAAACAUUACCACUUCAAACAGUAAAAAAGUCAAAAGAAAUUUGAAAUUUAACAGGCCGGCAACUGAAGGCCAUGCAUUGUUUGUGAAGCAUUGGAUAGGUUGUGAACCUGGAUUACCCAGUCAAUGGGGAAACAGGGGAGGGUCCCGGUCAUUGAGAAAUAAAGUAUCUAAACCGUACUGUGUGACCGGUAGGUGUGCUCCUGCUUGUGGGGCACCUGCCAUUGCAAUCGCGAAUAAAUCACUACUUCAACUGAGAUCCUCGCCUGAGCCUAAGUUAUUGGCUACGGAGUGUUUCUCACAAGUGGAUAUAUGGGUUUAUGCGUUUUAUGGAUUAUUUAUAAGGAGUGUUUAUAGUGUCUUGGUAGGAUAGCAGAUUUUUUUUCUAGUAUCUAGACACUUACGAAAGAUUUUUAAGUUAGAGACUUACACUUUGAAGUAGUAACAAACUUGCUGAGAUUCUGUGGCUCCACAGGACAAGGGAUUUUGCGUUAUGUACAACCAAUAGCUCCAGUCUUUGCUGGCCCUUCAGCAGCAGCGCUGAGACAUAGCACAGUAUGGGAAACAUAAGGUUUCUCCCUUGGUCAGUUUGGAUCAUAGUGGCAAUAGAUUCCUGAGGCUGCCAUAGCAGCAACAGUUUCCUGUAACCCUGAGCAAGGUUUGAGGGUGUCAAAAACUAUCUGCAAGUCAGAGUUUAGGGACUACAGUUUCAUACUGUGCUAUUAAAUCCAUUGCAACAUUAUUCAGUGCUUCCAAGUCAUGGUCUCCUAUUGUGAUAUAUUCAAGGCUUUCCUACUUAAAAGAAAAAGUGUAACCAAGGAAAGCUCAUGUAUCUAAGCAAGGCAGAGAAGUAUAAGCAAGUAACAAAGGAAAAGUUGGGUCUUGAUCAUAUGCUGCAGUCUUGGUGCUUCUAUAACAAGUUGGGAAAGUAGCGCUCUUAGGAGUUAUUUUCUGUACGUUUAAACUGUUUUCAAACGUCAUUAUUGAUUGUGGAGGGGAAAAAAAAAGUCCCUCAUUCCAUUUAUGUUUGGUAACUGAUUUUAGUGGCUAUAAGAAUGUUGAGUUUAUUUUACUAGGUUUAUGAAUGGUUUUAAAGAAUUCAUAAAAUCUCACUGUAUGUGUGCAUGUGUACCCCAGAAGUCUACCCUGGAACUUGAAAAGUUAAUUACAUUGCUAAAUUUCUUUCUGUUGCUUAAAAAAAAUUGCAAAUGUAAGUGAGCCCUUGGGGCAAAGCACUGGCAUUAGCUCACUGCUGACAUGUCUCGCACUUCUCUUAUAAUUUUAAAGAAGUGUGGGUCUGAAACUACUUCCUGCCUUAUCCUGUAAUCUGAUUUCUGCCAUCCUCUGAAAUUUUUGCCUCUGUAGGUACUUGUGAUAUCUAUGCCAUAUCUCCGCAUAUUCCAUUCAAAUAAAAUAAAACAAUUCUGAAGAUGUAAAGUCGCUAAUACUGAUGUUUCAUAUUUCAGGAUCAAAAGCCUUAUGUCUAAUUUCUAAGGGUACAUACGUUUUAACUGUCUUUAACAAAAAAUAAAUAAAUUUUUCAGUAGUGUAAGCUAAAGAAAAA